GUGAAUCAUCAAAUUUUUGAACGCAAAUUGCACUCUCCGGUUUUCCGGGAGAGUAUGCCUGUUUGAGGGUCAGCCUAAAAAAAAUCGACAUUGUUGCUGUUUUUUGGGGACUUUCGCCGGAGAUGGGUUAUCUUAAAUUCGGGUUUAAGCGACUUAAAAUUUUUUUUUCCGUUUCUAAGAUUUUUUUAAAGAUUUUCUUUGUACGUUUAAGGAA
rnacentral:misc_RNA from 1 species